rnacentral:rRNA from 1 species
AUCGAUGAARAACGCAGCGAAAUGCGAUAAGUAAUGUGAAUUGCAGAAUUCAGUGAAUCAUCGAAUCUUUGAACGCACAUUGCGCCCUCUGGUAUUCCGGAGGGCAUGCCUGUUCGAGCGUCAUUUCAACCCUCAAGCACUGCUUGGUGUUGGGGCACCGCCUGUGAAAGGGCGGGCCCUGAAAACUAGUGGCGAGCUCGCCAGGACCCCGAGCGUAGUAGUUUAUAUCUCGUUCUGGAAGGCCCUGGCGGUGCACUGCCGUUAAACCCCCAACUUCUGAAAUUUUGACCUCGGAUCAGGUAGGAAUACCCGCUGAACUUAAGCAUAUCAAUAAGCGGAGGAAAAGAAACCAACAGGGAUUGCCCUAGUAACGGCGAGUGAAGCGGCAACAGCUCAAAUUUGAAAUCUGGCCUCGGCCCGAGUUGUAAUUUGCAGAGGAUGCUUCUGGCGCGGUGCCUUCCGAGUUCCCUGGAACGGGACGCCACAGAGGGUGAGAGCCCCGUAUGGUCGGACACCAAGCCUGUGUGAAGCUCCUUCGACGAGUCGAGUAGUUUGGGAAUGCUGCUCUAAAUGGGAGGUAAAUCUCUUCUAAAGCUAAAUACCGGCCAGAGACCGAUAGCGCACAAGUAGAGUGAUCGAAAGAUGAAAAGCACCUUGAAAAGGGGGUUAAAU